UUAGAGCGAGGAGGCCAGCGACGAACAGGCUCCUGCGCAAAAGUGCGAUCCCAGCGAAUAACCAGAGUGACCCGAAAGGGUUUUUUGAAACGGACGGAGAACGGUUGUGCGAAGGCAAGAGUUUCUGAGCGGAAACGCCGAGGUCGAAGACCGGUAAACCAAAAGUCGACAGACAUCCACACACGGAAUCUACAUCUGGAGCAAACUAAGACCUCAGCGGUUCUCCUCUUGCACGGCUUCCCACAGACAGAUCGGCCUUCCAACCCUCCAGGCUGGAGAUCCGCAAGCAAGUGUCGUACUUAUUAUAGGCGACGAGGGACGUGGAAACUUUUCACUGUACACCAUUAACUACAGACAUUCUUAUGAGCUCUAACGGAGAAGAUGUUAAUCUGAAUGGAAUGAAUAAGAAUGAUGUACUUACAGAACCCAAGGAAUAUGAUGUUAAAUAAGGUCCCUUCCUAUGAAUCUACAUGUCAUACCAAUAUAUAUAGUAAACGAGGAAAAUCAUACCAAUCUUUGCGCAAAUGGUUUGCUUAAACAAAAUAAGAAUAUGCUUUAAGCCAUUUUUUAGUAACAAAUUGUAAAAAAUGCAUAUUUUUAUCAAAUAACAAACACUAAGUAGCCAAAGCCGCAGUUUUUGGAGUUAUAAUAAAUCAACGAUUUUUUGCUGAAAAACGGUUGCUAGUAACGGAGUAACCUCGCUUUAACGCAUCAUAAAACUUAUAUUCAAUCAUUUUUUCCAAGCAUAUUUUUCUUCAAUUUAAACAAACUGUCAGAAAUCUCAAAUAUAUUCCAAAUUUUAUUACUGUUCACCCCGUAGUUAGGGAAAUAUGACGGUAUACGCGCGCGCGCCCACACACACAGCCACACGCACGCACGCACACACACACGUGCACACACACGCAGACAUCCGCACGGAAAUUAUCUAAAAACAUGUGAUUCCAACUCCAAACAACUCAAAAUACGUUUGUAUGAAGUUUUAGCGAAACUGCCAAUUUUGCUAUUACAAAACUUCGUCUAAUAGGAAGCAAAAGCAUAAAGUUUUAUGCAAAUUGUAAAUUAAUACUAAUUUCAAUUACUUUUCC